ACUCAAAGGAAUAGACGGGGGCCCGCACAAGCGGUGGAGCAUGUGGAUUAAUUCGACGCAACGCGAAGAACCUUACCAGGACUUGACAUGGAGUCGACCAUCUAAGAGAUUAGGUCUCCCUUCGGGGCGACUCACACAGGUGGUGCAUGGUUGUCGUCAGCUCGUGUCGUGAGAUGUUGGGUUAAGUCCCGCAACGAGCGCAACCCUUAUCUUUAGUUUCCAGCACAUAAUGGUGGGCACGCUAGAGAGACUGCCGUGGAUAACACGGAGGAAGGUGGGGAUGAUGUCAAAUCAUCAUGCCCCUUACGUCCUGGGCUUCACACGUGCUACAAUGGUCUCUACAAAGUGAAGCAAGACAGUGAUGUGGAGCAAACCACAAAAAGAGACCCCAGUUCGGAUUGUAGGCUGCAACUCGCCUACAUGAAGUUGGAAUCGCUAGUAAUCGCGGAUCAGCAUGCCGCGGUGAAUACGUUCCCGGGCCUUGCACACACCGCCCGU
rnacentral:rRNA from 1 species